GGGGCGGGCUGGCUCCGCAGCUAUGGCGGCGCCCGUGGUGCCGGAGAGCGACAGCAUCCGCAGGGCCGUGUCGCUGCUCAACGCCGUGGACUCGGGCCGGUUCCCGCGGCUGCUCUCCCGCCUCCUCCAGAAGCUGCACCUGAAGGCUGAAAGUACCUUCAGUGAAGAGGAGGAAGAAAAACUUCAAAUAGCUUUUUCAUUGGAAAAGCAGGAUCUUCAUCUGGUUCUUGAAACUAUAUCCUUCAUUUUAGAACAGGCAGUCUAUCAUAAUCUGAAGCCUGCUUCCUUGCAACAGCAGCUACAGAACAUUCAGUUGGAUCAAGACAAAGCUGAAGCAUUUGCUACUGCAUGGGCGGCGGCAGGUCAAGAUACGAUUGAGAAGUUCAGGCAGAGGGUUUUGACCCCCCAGAAGCUUGAGACAAUUGGAUGGCAGCUUAAUCUUCAAAUGGCGGAGUCCAAGCAAGCAAAACUGAAGUCUCCUCAAGCUGUGCUAGAGCUGGGAGUGAGCAAUGAAGAUUCAAAGCUGCAGGUUUUAGGAAGGGGGAAUAUGAAUAACAUCGCUCCUGUGGUUCUGAAAUGACCUGGUGAACUCCUAGCCCCUUCAGCAGGCACUGCUUGGGAUUGGAGCUCCAGCUUUCUGUUUUUUGAGGAGCCCUCCUGCCCAAGGCAGAAGGCUGAGUUUCUGCCUUAUAUUAAAUGAUCUGACACAAUAGGCCUGUUUGGUUGAAGAAGCUUCAAAUGUAAAGGUUUCCAUAAAUAAAUAAUAAAAAAAGAAAAUGUCACCAACAACCCUCUUAAUGGCAAAGGUAGCUGCUACUUGCAAAUGAAGAAUUGCUUUACAAGUUCCUGAAAACUACCAUUGUACUUUAAAAAAACAACUUGAUAAACUUCAUUAAAACUGGUUUUCUGUUCAGUGCUACUGUUGAAAAGGCUCAGCCUGGGGGCAGGGUUAGGGACAGGGAAAGCAGGUUCUGCUCUUGACUUUGCUAAUAAUGGGAUAUAAAACCUGAACUAAGUCACUCCAGCUCUGUUUUGCCUUACACCUCCUUGGAUUUUUGACCUUGGUGACUGCAGCUUUGAUAUAAACUACAGCAUCUCAGCAGAGCUCUGCACAUUUUGAGUAUUGAUCAUUAAGUGAUCUCAGCCUGGCCCCUGGUAAAUCACAGACUGUUAUGUUCUCUGGUGGCCUCCCUGUGCAUCCUGCAGGUGAAGGAGGGUGUUAGCAGGACUGAGCCAUCUCACACCCCAAAGGCCACAUCCCAGAGCCACACAGCAUACAGCUCAGGCUUUACAUGACACAGAGCUGUUGGGACACUGCUGUGACAUCCCUGGCAGCUGGACUGUGUCCUUCAACAAGGUCAAAACCCACCCCACUCCCUCUCCUGCAUGCACUGACCAUGACCAUCACUGUGUUUUCCCACAGAGACAUGGUUCCUACUGCCUCAAGGUGGGGUGCACACUGAGCCCAUAUGGCAUGUGGGAGCCAGCCUUUCCCUGUAUCCCACCUGGAUUACCCAGCUGGGAUGGUGGGUUCCUGCAUACCUCAAAAAUUACUGAGAUGUGGCAUCCAGCUCAGCUCCUUCAGCAGGCACAACUUGUCCUGCUUGCUGUUCCGUGCUGGGUGACCUGUACAGCACCUGCAGAUUCUGCUGCUGAAGAUUUUAUGUCAUCUUUUGGAACUCUAAUUAAAACCAAACUAAAUAAUUUUGUCCCAAGACUCAAUCCUAUGAGAACCCUGCUAUAUCUAGCCCCAUUAUUAAGGGUGCUCUAGGAUUUACCAGAGAGCUAGUUUGUAAUUUAUCUUCAGGAACAAUUAAUUAAAUAUUGUUUUGGAACCAAAUCAUCCAUGCUUAGAAUUUACUGGUAUUUGAAAAUCAUAGACUCAUAGAAUGGUUUGGUUUGGAAGGACUUCAAAGAUCACGUUGUUCCAAACCCCUGCCACUCUGGAGGACAAGAUCUGCAGAUGGAAUCAGAACUCAGUCUCAAGCUACUCCUUGGUAUCUUGGUCUAAAAUAAGAGACACUGAAGGCUUGAAAAAUACUGAUGUCAGCCCUACCAGGGACAUUCAAGAUACGAAAUGUUGUUGGCUGUGUCUGUGGACAGGAGAUUGGAUUAUAGAAGAGGAAAAUUUCCCUCAGAGUGUGGGUUGCUGUGGGACAGGCUUAUUCUGUUCCUGUGAUACCAUCAAAAGAGCAGCCACAGUCUGACAAGGAACUGAAGGAGCAUCUCUCCCACCUCUUUCCCAGAGAAGACCUAAGUGCCAGGGGAUUAAAACUCCACAUGCUCUAUGGAAAUGUAAUACUUGUCCUUAUUACAGCAGAGAUAGCAAGACAGAAAAUGUACCUCCAAGGCUCUCCUGAGACUUCAUGAGGAUACAAAACUUUCAUGUUGUAAAUCAACUUCUUCUAAAAUAAUGUCUUUUCAUGCAUUUGGUACAGAAGGUAUUUGUAGCCCAGAAUUAGAACUAAAAUGUUCCUCAGCAAACUAUGUUAAAAGAACAUUGAAAAGUUGCCUCUACCCCAUAGGAAUUUUUGAUAAGUAUUCUGGAUAUACUGAACAAUACUAUUCUAGAUAUAGUAUUGUUCCUAUUUUUCUGUCCCAAAUUAAUUGCAGCAUUUAGGUGGACAACAGAUAUUUGCUUACAAGACAGGAACUUUAUAUUUAAAAGUGAAACAGCUCUUGAAAUCGUAAGCACCUGCAUGAGACAUUACAGCUGGUUGCCACAGACAUUAUUGUGCUAUGACAAUAUAGAGGAUUAUGAUUUCACAGGGUGAAUAAUUAUCAAGGACGGAUGAUCACUUAAGAAAAUAAGAUCUGGCAUCCCUAUAAAUGUCUUUAUAGUAAAAAUGUAAGGGCAGGAAAGUAAAUCUCAGAAAACAAUAUAUAAUUAGAAACAAUCUCCAAAUUAAGUGUUUCUCAGAGAACCCUCUUUAAAGCCCAGCAGCUUCUUAAGAGGCAGAUUUUUCUAUUCUUUGUCAUCAGCACUUAACAAGCAGCAGCAAAACCUAGCUCUGUUUAAAUCCAUGUACAAAAUUGCUGUAUGUAGAAGCCAAGACUAGUGGUUACAGCACAGUCAGCAAAACCAAUAUUUCACUGCAAACGUGUUGGUCUCCUGUGGACCUUCACCUGCUGAUAUUUACGAGCUAGACAGACCCUGCAGCAUUCUGAGACCAAAUUUAUUUACACUUGUACAGCUGCAGUCAUUAACUAGAGAAUCAGUUACAGAUACAGAUACUUAAAAAGCCUUUCUUGCAGGAACUUCUCAGACAUGCCCCUUUGAGCACUUAAGUCCAAUGUUUUUUGCAUUAAAAAGACUCAAAAUCCCCACUCAGUGUGUUGGAAAUAAUAUAAUUUUCGAAUUUUUAAUAGCUAUUAUGAACCUUUUGAUUACUUUUGUUAAUUAAUCAUAGAUGCUGUGUUAAGUCUUAAAUUACUUCAAGUCAGCAUUUAGCAAGAAGUUGUCAUAAGCUACUUUAGUGGGAACAUAGUACUUGGGAAAAGUACUGAAACUCUAAGUUUUGUUAAAGGUUAUCCUUGAUAUGCUUUAGUGAACAAAGCUGAGGAGAGAGAAAGAUGUAUUGUUGAAGCUGGACAUCUGGAACCCAAGAUUUAUGAACUCCAAGGACUUUUUGCAGAAAUCAGCAGAUAAAGAAGGCGGCUAACAAAGACUCAAUAUAUGUGAUAGAAAGUCUUUUCCAAGACAAAGAUACAAAAAAGACUGAAGAUGUGACCUAAUUAUUGUAAAAAGCAAAAAAUUAAUAACCAGUAGAAAGUAGAAUACUAACUAAUGAAAGAGAAUUACGUAAUUAAGAACCAAGGAAAAUUAAUUUCAUUGUUUGCUAAAAAUGUAUAAAUGGGUAGAAAAAUUAUGUAUUGGGGUCCAUGUGGGGCUGACUUAACUCUGUUAGUCUUACACACAUACCUCUGGCCAGAAUUAAAGUUAUGCCUUGCUUUCUAAUGCUAAAAUGACAGUGUUAGAGAGUUUUAUUUAUCCCAACAAUUUCAGAGUACUUGACAACAAGUGCCUUCCUAAUGGUGCAAACACCUACUGUCAAAGUCAGCACGGGUUCAUGAAGGGAAAAGUCAUAUCUUACUAACUUAAUAUUCUUCACUGAAAGGGUGGUCAGUCAUUGGAACAAACUGCCCAACGAAGUGGUGGAAUUAUCAUCCCUGGGAUUGUUUGAAAAGUGUGUGUCACUGCUGUCAUGUACCACUUGAGGCCAUUUAUAUCCUGUUACUUUACAGUAUAGGCUGUGAACAAGAGGCUGAAGUGCAGCCCUGUGGGAAGGGAAGUGGCAGUUUUGGUUGAUGGUAAACUCAGGAUGAGUCAACAACAUGUCCUGGAAGAUAAAAGGGCCAACUGCAUAAAAAUACUGGAAUGUGUCCAAAGGAGUGAAAAGACUACACAGGGCAUCACUAAUGAGGAGUGGAUGAAGAUAUUUGAUUUGUUCACCUCAGAGGAGACCUCAGAAUCACAGAACAUUCUGAGCUGAAAGAGACCCAGAAAGAUCCAGGUCUUAAGUGAAUGGCCCAUACAGGAAUCAAACCCAUGACCAUUAGUGUCAUGUUCUAAUCAACUGAGCUAGUCUCAGGGCCAACCACAUUGCUGUCUAAAGCUUCCUUAUGGUGGGGAGGGGGGAGGAGAGUGCUGUUCUCUCUCUCAGGUAUCUGAUGAUAGGAUGCAAUGGAACAGCUUAAAACUCAUGUUCAUGUCUGACAUUUCCUACUGGUUAAGGGAAACUCCAAGUUCUACACUCUCGGCCUGCUGCUUUAGGCUAAGUCCUACUCUGCAAAUGACAGCCUUAAACACAAACAUGCAUCACUGCAUAUAAAAGCAACAUGAAAUCUUCAGUUUAGAUUACCAACAGAUAUCAAAUCAUUAGCACUCAUAUUACCACACAGCCCAGACUGAAUGACCAUUUGUGUUCAUGGGAGAGGUAGCUGGAAUGAGAUUGUGUAUGCUGCAGGCAUUUUAUCUGCAUAAAUUUAUGAUAGUCUUAAAACAGCCUGAUUUCAGCUAGCUCCUCUGGAACUCAAACCUUCGUGGUAUUUUAUAUACUACAGGAUAUUUAACAUUAGUGGUUUUGCUCUGGGCAGGUGGCUCUUCUCUGGACACAAUGCCAGAUUAAUGCCAUAAUUUAUUUUUUAUCAGAGAUCACAUCCAUGUAUCUUUAGUUAUGCAAACAAUCCCACUAACUUCAAUGUAAAUAAAAUAAAAUUGGUGAGAUUUGACCCUGAAUUAGUGUUUAUGGAAUAGUUAAAACUAAGUAAUGAAAAAGUAGGAAAAAUGUUCAACAUCCUACUGUCAUGACCAUAGAGCGCGAGGGGGGUGAGGGGUUGGAAUUUAAUACAAAAUGCGGUUGUUGUCUAUCAAUAUCUCAAGCCCCUAACAUCAGUAGUAACUGCCUUCACAGAGUGGGAUGAAUAAGCAGGUGUGUGAUCCCAAACAAGCCAGUUUGAAACAAACAGGACAAUGUUCAUACUGCUUUAUAAACUGCACUGCAUGUGCUUUGACCUAUCCUGCAGUUCUUAAAGAACAACACAGACCCCAUGGCGCAGUCCAGCAUAAUUAAUUUGCACUCAUUAUUCAAGGAAUUAAAAUGAAUAGAGAAAGUAAUCAGAAAAAUGUAGGGCUUACAUUUUUGAAAAUUAAGUAAAGUAUUCAGACUCUCACUUUUGAGGAAAUACCUGCUGUUAAAAUAUCUUACAGCUAUAUGUUAUCUGACAUACUACUAAGACAUCAUGUACUGCAAAACAGACUGGGCUGGCUGCAUAAAAUACUGUGGAAUGAGACUGUAAAAUACGUUUGAUAUAAUUAUCACCACAUUAUUUUUAUCUUAUUUAAUAAUAAAAAUAUUAUUCUAAAUUAAAUACUUUUACAGUGUUAUGUCUAGAACUUUCCUGUUUGCCUUGUAUCAUUUUCAUGAGUGAAAAUACAUUGCUUACUUCAUUUUAUGUGGUCUGAACGGCCCAUCCAUACUCCUGACUGUUUUCUCUACUGAGACUUAUCACUGGGGAUAACAACAAGCUAUUCUUUGGAAAGGGAUAGUGUUGACAGAGUUACCUGUAUCAACAUUACACUCAGGAGAUGUGUGGUGGUAAAGAUGAUAACAGUAAAACUGAAAAUGUUACAAAGACAGAGAU